GGGCGAAUGGUCUAGAGGUAUGAUAUUCGCUUUGCAUAACUGAGGAAAAUUCAUCUGUGAUGAUUGCGAAGGGUCCGGGGUUCAAUUCCCCGUUCGUCCA
rnacentral:tRNA from 1 species